CGAAAGUGGUCUACUAUAUCAGAUGUUUUUUCAUGCGGGUGCUUGUGCUUAAGUAGAAGUUUCCGUUGAAGGAGGUGGCGCUUUACCUUCUGAAGAUCCAGUUCUUACUCAAUAUCUUGCUUGUGCUUCAGAUCUAUCUUAAUUGCGGGUUCCAAAGCUUGUUUACAACUUUGACCAUACCUCCCGUUCGUUGCCAACACCUUGAAUGGCAUCUGACUUGAGAUUGGAUUAUCCCUAAAACCCUGCAUUCUUUCCCCUCGAUACCCGCCAAUAAGAUUUCUUUGCUUUGCGCUGUUCCUAGGUUAGGUGCACUAAAUGAUCUUCUUAUGGAGUUAGGAAGUUAGGCUACUUACUGCGCCUCUCCAUUCUCUUCAACUAAUUCCACAUGCCAUCUUGUGCCGUUCUGAAAGCCUAAGUGCUGACGUUUCGGUGUUGUGCCUCAGGUUAAGAUUCAAUUGAAUUGCGUAUGGCGCGUUGUCCACUUGAGAGCGGGCGCCUAUGAUAUUAGUGUUUUGUAGGGCGCCUAUGAUAUUAGUGUUUUGUUUUGAAUUGAGAGUUGAGCAGUAACAAGGUGUGAAGUGAAGUGACUUCCGGAAGAGUUAGCUGUGGAAUUACUAUUAUAUACUGAAGAAAGAGUUUGCUGUUUCAGAGUGAGCUGUGGAGUGACUAUUUUCUAUAGAAUAUGCCAGAUAGGCGGCUCAAAGGAGGUUUGCCCUAGUCCAACAACAAGUAAUAAGUGAGUUUGAAUGCAAUGCUGUGAGUGGAGAUUAGAGUGGAAAGUAUUUGGACGUUCUUAUAGAAAAAGGGAACACUUAUCUUAUUCAACAAGCCGUUUAGAAAGAAACAACCAACGGAACUAGAGCUUUAGGCAAGCAAUAAGUAAAGUACUAUAGGGCUCUGGAGAGUUCUGCCUCAAUUCGAUUCAGCCGAUAUUUGUUCUUUCAUAUAAGAAAGGAAAAGCGAAACUGUGUUUUUACUACACCAUUCCAUAUGUGGAUAGCGCAACUAUCUUAUCUGAAAUGAAAUGAAAACAAGCUAGGGCCUGGAGUAAGGAGUUCGUCCUUGUGCGCAAGCUGUGUGAGUAAAGUAGAGUUCUGGCCCUCGUGCCAAUAUGAUUGGAUUUCCCCCUUGUCUUGUGUGCCGAGUGUGAGUAAGCGAGUUGUUGUUCUGUUCCCUUCCAUUUACUCUAAACUAGAAGAAAAGAAGAUGGAUUGAAGAUGACCUGCUCAUAUACUCUAACCCAAAGCAAAGAAAGAGACUCCCUCCACGGAAGGAAUAUGCUUUGCGCGCAUUAUGUUGUUGGGCCCAAAAACUUGACUUGAAAAUAACUCAUACUAAAUCAAAACUAUGUAGCAACCAUAAUGAUACUAAGCUUGUUCUAGACCAACUCCUUAUUCUUGUUCUUAUAAUGAUCUUUAUGAUUCUCUUCCCUGAGAUUCGAAAUUCCAAUUGAUUAACCUAACACCUUCGUUAUUGCUUGCAGCCUGAUUCUCUUCCCUGAGAUUCGAAAUUCCUUCUCAUUGCACAAGAAAGUGGAAAUUCCUUCUCCCGCCUGUCCCAGUACUAGACCCGGUGGUAUAAGUAGUUUCUCUCGAGUAGUCCUUUUCAGUGUAAGGUGAUUCUUUUGAAAAAGGACAAAUUCAAUCAAUCCUGUUUGAAUGCCUUCCAAUUGCAGUUCUUUUGUCAGCCCUGCUCCUUAAAGUGCUAGUUCCCAGCCCCAAGCGAAUACUUUAUAUCGAUAGAGCUAAUAGGUAAGAUCAAUAGGUGGUAAUAGUAGCCAUUUUGAGUGACCUUCCCAGCUAUGGGAGAUCCAGUGCCUUUGACCCAUAGAAAAUCCAAUAAUCAAAAAGAAGUAGAUAGAAGAUAGAAUCCAAAUGUCAAUUUCUCGUCGGCAUCGGGGAAGGAAUUAGAUGGAUAUGAGCUGAUACCACAGGAGAUUCUGUAGUUUCAACAGAAGCAAGAGCUGGAGUAGUUACAAGAUCUGAAGCCGGGGGUGAGCUCGGUGUUGGAUAUAGAUACUGGUCAGAUUACUAAUACAUACAUAUAUAAGCUCGAAAGAAAGAAUAUAACUCGCUGAAUAUAGAGAAAAGUAACCUAACUCCGAUACUGUAAAGAAAGAAUAUAACUCUCUGAAUAUAUAAGGGAUUAACCUAACUGCUUCCUGUAAGAGAUUAACCUAACUGCUUCCUGCUUAAAAACUCACUCAUAUCAUACACCCUCUCCAUAAAAUACCACUUGACUUCGAGCGCAACUAAGUAGGGCGAGUCGAGUGCUCACGAGUGCUCAGUAAACCAGUAAUUCAAUCAUUUAGUAAACCUGGAAUUCUAUCAUUUAGUAAACCAGCACAAUGAAAGAAGAAAGGCAAGUAAGUAGCAUAUGAUAUAAGAGUGGAACGGUGCGUGCGCAUUUAGUUAUUGUUGCUGGGUGCGAGUUCUUUCUGCGUUAGCUAUAGGGCGAAGUCGUUUAUGUGAUUAUAGUGCCUAUGCUUCUGUCCUAAUGUGCUGAGUCUACCUAAUGUGCUUAGUCUGCCGAAUGUGCUUAGUCUGCCCUAGUGCUUUGUCUACCUUAGUGCUUAGUCUGCCCGUGC
rnacentral:lncRNA from 1 species